GCAAGAUUUGACAGGGGAAGUGAGCAGAUUACAGGGUGCAAAUAAGAAUAUUGUGUCUAAGAUUGAUGAGACAACAGAAAGAUAUGCAAUUUGUGCGGCACAGAACAAUGUGUUGAGGGCACAAGCAAUGGAAUUGACUGAUAGGCUCAGGUAUUUAAAUGAUGUUAUUGACAGUACUGGUUUGGCUGCUGAUGUUGCUGAUCCUUUGUUGAAGCCAUUGCAGAAUCCUUGUGCAAUGCAGCCUAUUGCUUCAUCAGGAUUGUUUAAAUUUUAAUCGUUGUAAUGGCUUGUUUGGAUAGCGUUGCUUCCAUUAGUCUAUAUUCUAGUAGUUUCCUUGGAUGGUAAUGUCAUGUUAGUUAUGCCUUUGUUGGUUAUGUUUUAGUGUCUGCUUACUCUUUUUUAACCAUGUAAAUACCAAGAAU
rnacentral:misc_RNA from 1 species